GACCGAGGAUUGGGUUCGGCCGAUUAGUAAACGGGGGGUAACGGCCCCCCGUGCCAAUAAUCGGUAUGGGUCAUGAGAGUGAGAACCCAGAGACGGAAUCUGAGACAAGAUUCCGGGCCCUACGGGGCGCAGCAGGCGCGAAACCUUUACACUGCACGACAGUGCGAUAGGGGGAUCCCAAGUGCACAGGCAUAGCGCCUGUGCUUUUCGGCACCCUAAGGCGGUGCCAGAAUAAGGGCUGGGCAAGACCGGUGCCAGCCGCCGCGGUAAUACCGGCAGCCCAAGUGAUGGCCGAUCUUAUUGGGCCUAAAGCGUCCGUAGCUGGCCGCGCAAGUCCAUCGGGAAAUCCACCUGCUCAACAGGUGGGCGCCCGGUAGAAACUGCGUGGCUUGGGACCGGAAGGCGCGACGGGUACGUCCGGGGUAGGAGUGAAAUCCCGUAAUCCUGGACGGACCGCCGAUGGCGAAAGCACGUCGCGAGAACGGAUCCGACAGUGAGGGACGAAAGCCAGGGUCUCGAACCGGAUUAGAUACCCGGGUAGUCCUGGCCGUAAACAAUGUCUGCUAGGUGUGGCUCCCACUACGAGUGGGUGCUGUGCCGUAGGGAAGCCGCUAAGCAGACCGCCUGGGAAGUACGUCCGCAAGGAUGAAACUUAAAGGAAUUGGCGGGGGAGCACUACAACCGGAGGAGCCUGCGGUUUAAUUGGACUCAACGCCGGACAUCUCACCAGCAUCGACUGUGGUAAUGACGAUCAGGUUGAUGACCUUAUCCGAGCCUCAGAGAGGAGGUGCAUGGCCGCCGUCAGCUCGUACCGUGAGGCGUCCUGUUAAGUCAGGCAACGAGCGAGACCCGCACCCUUACUUGCCAGCAGUACCGCGAGGUAGCUGGGGACAGUAGGGGGACCGCCGUGGCUAACACGGAGGAAGGAACGGGCAACGGUAGGUCAGUAUGCCCCGAAUGUGCUGGGCAACACGCGGGCUACAAUGGUCGAGACAAAGGGUUCCUACUCCGAAAGGAGACGGUAAUCUCAGAAACUCGAUCGUAGUUCGGAUUGUGGGCUGCAACUCGCCCACAUGAAGCUGGAUUCGGUAGUAAUCGCGUUCCCCAGC
rnacentral:rRNA from 1 species